UCAAUUUAUCCCAUCACCAAGCUGCAUGUCAGCUGGGAGGUGGGGAGAAAAAAAAAAGCCUCCCUAGCAAAGCUGCGGCGACGCAGAGGGUUAACGGCAGAGUAGCGCUGGAGGAUGGGGGGAGGGGAGGCAGGGUUUGUAAAUGGAAACAUUGGUACAUAAGCAUUUAGCACAAUCAGGAGGAAAAACGGCCCAACUGCAGAGAGGAGAACAAAAAAUCUCCCUUUGCUGCCCCCUGGCGCCGGUUCUUGCACAUUUCUCGCGGAAAAGAAAACACUGCGCUGUCGAUGUGUGCGUGUUUCAUGUCCCAGGUGAACUGCUUGCCUCUCUUCAUUGCUCAUGAAGCAAGCCACGUAGGCAGACACUCCGACCUGAUCGCCAGCAGAAGGUUUCCCAAAUUCAGAUGAAUGUUAAUACUCUCUGUCUGUAUUAUAUAUGCAAGAGGCAGAGUGGUGCAAUGGAGAAAGCUUCAGCUCAGGACUCGGGAGACAAAGGUUCAAUUCGCCCUUCCACCUUGGAAAUUCACUGGGGUUUUGCCCACAUUUUAUUGUUCUACAAAACUAAGAUUCCCCCAAGCAUGGAUGGUGCUGUUUUGGCUAUGUAAGGAAUUACAUUCAGAUCCAUAUGGAACCUUCAAAUUCUGCAUAUGUUUGCCUUUUUUCCUUAAUUGAAAUGGAGACUACAGCCAAGAAUCAGAGGAAAACUGAGACGUGGAAGGACAGCUAUGAAGAAACUAGAAAACAUUAUGAAGUGUAAGAAUGUGUUCCUGGAGAUCCAGGCCAAGAUUAUCCACACCAUUGUAUUUCUGAUUACAGUACUAUGUAGAGAUGUGUUAGUUGGACAGCUAAGAAAGCUGACAGGAAAAAAUGAUUAAUUGAAGCGGGCUGGAGGAGAGUUUUGCAGAUACCAUUGACCACCAGAAAGGUGAACAAUUCUCUCUAGAAUCAACAAGGAGGAAGCUGGCACUGUCUUACUUUGGAUAUAUCAUGAGAAGGCUUGGCUAACUGGAAAAGAUGCUAAAUGGAAAUGAAUGCAGCGAAAGGAAGACCAAAUGUGAGAUAGAUUGACUCCAGAACGAAGCCACAUCAUUCAGUUUGCAAGAGC